AAUGGGUCAGCGACUUAUAUUCUGUAGCAAGGUUAACCGAAUAGGGGAGCCGAAGGGAAACCGAGUCUUAACUGGGCGUUAAGUUGCAGGGUAUAGACCCGAAACCCGGUGAUCUAGCCAUGGGCAGGUUGAAGGUUGGGUAACACUAACUGGAGGACCGAACCGACUAAUGUUGAAAAAUUAGCGGAUGACUUGUGGCUGGGGGUGAAAGGCCAAUCAAACCGGGAGAUAGCUGGUUCUCCCCGAAAGCUAUUUAGGUAGCGCCUCGUGAAUUCAUCUCCGGGGGUAGAGCACUGUUUCGGCAAGGGGGUCAUCCCGACUUACCAACCCGAUGCAAACUGCGAAUACCGGAGAAUGUUAUCACGGGAGACACACGGCGGGUGCUAACGUCCGUCGU
rnacentral:rRNA from 1 species